UGGGGAAUAUUGGACAAUGGGGGCAACCCUGAUCCAGCAAUGCCGCGUGUGUGAAGAAGGCCUGCGGGUUGUAAAGCACUUUCAGCAGGGAAGAAAAGCUCGGGGCUAAUACCUCCGGGUCUUGACGUUGCCUGAAGAAGAAGCACCGGCUAACUCCGUGCCAGCAGCCGCGGUAAUACGGAGGGUGCGAGCGUUAAUCGGAAUUACUGGGCGUAAAGCGCACGUAGGCGGUCAGAUAAGUCGGAUGUGAAAGCCCUGGGCUUAACCUGGGAACUGCAUUCGAUACUGUCUGGCUAGAGUAUGGGAGAGGGAAGCGGAAUUUCCGGUGUAGCGGUGAAAUGCGUAGAUAUCGGAAGGAACACCAAUGGCGAAGGCAGCUUCCUGGCCCAAUACUGACGCUCAGGUGCGAAAGCGUGGGGAUCAAACAGGAUUAGAUACCCUGGUAGUCCACGCUGUAAACGAUGAGAACUAGAUGUUGGGA
rnacentral:rRNA from 1 species